rnacentral:rRNA from 1 species
AUUGAACGCUGGCGGAAUGCUUUACACAUGCAAGUCGAACGGCAGCACGGACUUCGGUCUGGUGGCGAGUGGCGAACGGGUGAGUAAUGUAUCGGAACGUGCCCAGUCGUGGGGGAUAACGUAGUGAAAAUUACGCCAAUACCGCAUACGAUCUAUGGAUGAAAGCGGGGGAUCGCAAGACCUCGCGCGAUUGGAGCGGCCGAUAUCAGAUUAGGUAGUUGGUGGGGUAAAGGCCCAUCAAGCCAACGAUCUGUAGCUGGUCUGAGAAGACGACCAGCCACACUGGAACUGGGACCGGGUCCAGACUCCUACGGGAGGCAGGAGUGGGGGAUUUUGGACAAUGGGCGAAAGCCUGAUCCAGCCAUUCCGCGUGCAGGAUGAAGGCCCUCGGGUUGUAAACUGCUUUUGUACAGAACGAAAAGGUUUCUACUAAUACUAGGAGCUCAUGACGGUACUGUAAGAAUAAGCACCGGCUAACUACGUGCCAGCAGCCGCGGUAA